UACGGGGGGAGCAAGCGUUGUUCGGAUUUACUGGGCGUAAAGGGCGCGUAGGCGGCCAGCACACGUCAGUUGUGAAAUCUCCGGGCUUAACUCGGAAAGGUCAACUGAUACUGUGCGGCUAGAGUGCAGAAGGGGCAACUGGAAUUCUCGGUGUAGCGGUGAAAUGCGUAGAUAUCGAGAGGAACACCUGCGGCGAAGGCGGGUUGCUGGGCUGACACUGACGCUGAGGGCACGAAAGCGUGGGGAGCAAACAGG
rnacentral:rRNA from 1 species